rnacentral:rRNA from 1 species
AGCUCCAAUAGCGUAUAUUAAAGUUGUUGCGGUUAAAAAGCUCGUAGUUGGAUUUCUGUUGAGGACAGCCGGUCCGUACUUUGUACGUGUAUCUGGUUUGGCCUUGGCAUCCUCAUAGAGUACGCCGCUGCGCUUGAUUGCGUGGCGCGGAAUCUAUGACUUUUACUUUGAGGAAAUUAGAGUGUUCACGGCAGGCUAUCGCCAUGAAUAUAUUAGCAUGGAAUAAUAAUAUAGGACGUCAAUCCUAUUUUGUUGGUUUCUAGGAAUGACGUAAUGAUUAAUAGGGUCAAUUGGGGGCAUUCGUAUUAACACGUCAGAGGUGAAAUUCUUGGAUUUUUGCAAGACGAACUACUGCGAAAGCAUUUGCCAAGGAUGUUUUUA